GCGCAAUGCAGGGCGGAGCGGCGAUUUUCAGUCAGGCGGCGCGGCGGGCAGCUCCGGGCCGCCGGCGGCGGGGAUGGGCGGGUCUUUUUUCCGGUGCCCCGGCGGGAACAGGAAGUGCUUCCCGGUCAGGUGGCGCGUGGGAGUCUGCCCGGAGAACGGGUUACCAGCACAGGGGUUUAAUUUGUGAAGUUCUUCACUGCUGGGUUCCUUGGUCAUCUCAGCACACUCAAGCAAGGACUCCUUCUUUAUUAAUUUAUUUUGGAUGUUAAACAGAGCUGGUCUUCUCCAAGGAUGCAACAAAUAGUUUUUCACUGUAACAAAAACAGAAAAUACAAACUGCCUAGGAAAAAAAGAGUCUUUAUUUGAAGCCUUAGUUAUUUAUUCUGCUCCUGUAAAUUGUUUUCCCCUGAUUGAUGUCCAUUUUUGUGCCGUUAAUCACUGUGUGUUUAUAGCAGAUCAAAUGCCCGCAGGGGGUGACCAUCAGAUCCAGCUGUGGCUGCAGAAAGCCCUGAUCACCUGCCCCGGUGUCACAGCUGACCCUGAGCUGGGCGUUAGGCUUCAGAGCCUCCCGGCGUCCUGCCCAACCUGAAUUCCUGUGUGAAUCACCACCUGACCGCUGGGACUGCCUCGCCCAAAUGGCAGGGGGUGGAACAGGAUGGUCUUUGAGGUCCCUCCCAACCCAAACCAUGCCAGGAUUCCACGGUUAAACAGCCAUGGCUUUAGCUGAGCUGUCAGUAGUGGUCACUGUGUUACACAUUCACAACUCUGUUAAACCAGCUUCCCGUUGGCCACCUGUACAAAGCAGAAAACAUCUUCUGAUUUAAAAUUCCCCUGCCUGCAACACAGUAAUGUCUGGGCUGCUGCCAUCUUCCUUUGAGACUGUCACAGAAACUUCUUAUCAAUUAAAGGAGGCACGGUUUCGUAUCACACCUAAAACAUGUCAAAAUGCAUCCAUGUUGAUAAAGAAGCACAUCAAGAAUUUCUGUGUUAGUGAAUUCCCAGAAACUCACAGGAUUGUAGAAUAUCCUGCAUUACAAGGGACCUACAAGGAUCAUCAAGGUCCAGUUCCUGUCAUCAAAGUAAAUGGUAUUUGCAGACCUGGCUCUUGGGAAAAUUGUCUUUUAGGUUGUUUGAAUGUUAGUUUGCUAAACUGUUGUCUUGAUAAACUCAUCAAAAAAUGGUGUGAUGUUAUUUUAAAAUGGUAAAGAAUUAAGAUGUUUAA